rnacentral:rRNA from 1 species
AUGAUUUGCAUUUCACUUAUGUUAACCCCAGCAUCAGCAAGCACUAUUUACAUUGUAACUACUUUAUCUUGCUUUUAUCUUUCUUUAUGCGCUAUCUCAGUAGAUAUGCGAAGAAGAGUGCUGCAAUAUAGCAUAUGUUCCAGAUGUUAUGCUUCUGUGUUUUCAGAUAAACAAUGCUUGUUCCUAGCUAAAAUGGAGAGGCUAUAUUUGCAAUACGGCAAAUAUACCAUUUCCAACUUCUUGCUUGACGAAACAAGUAUAUUACUUGGACUUCGAGCUUAUCUGAAGUAUGAUAUGUAUGUACCUUCAAGGAACCUUUAUAGUUAA